rnacentral:rRNA from 1 species
UACAGAGGUCUCAAGCGUUGUUCGGAUUUACUGGGCGUAAAGGGCGCGUAGGCGGCGCAACAAGUCACUUGUGAAAUCUCCGGGCUUAACUCGGAGCGGCCAAGUGAUACUGUCGUGCUAGAGUGCGGAAGGGGCUACUGGAAUUCUCGGUGUAGCGGUGAAAUGCGUAGAUAUCGAGAGGAACACCUGCGGCGAAGGCGGGUAGCUGGGCCGACACUGACGCUGAGGCGCGAAAGCUAGGGGAGCGAACGGG